UGGUGCUCCGCGUGUUCUACAGUUACAGCGGCGCGGGCGCUGCCCGGGAGCCCCCGCGCUGAGGGGGCGCGGAUCGGCCCGGGCUGCCCCGGCGCCCCUAACACCGCUCCCGGCGCCCCUAACACCGCUCCCGGCGCCCCUAACACCGCUCCCGGCGCCCCUAACACCGCUCCCGGCGCCCCUAACACCGCUCCCGGCGCCCCUAACACCGCUCCCGGCGCCCCUAACACCGCUCCCGGCGCCCCUAACACCGCUCCCGGCGCCCGCGGGGCUCCGGCGGCUCCCGGGGCCGGCUGGGGUGAGGGGGCGAAAGGAGCGGGGACAAGACCCCUAGGCCACCCCCGCCCCGAGGUGACCGAGCUGGAGCCGCAGGCACUGGGACAGCCCGACGCUCCUCACGGUCCCUCAGCAGAGACCCGCUGAGGGGGAGACGGAUCCGCUGAGGGGGAGUGAGACUCGCUCGGGGGGGUGGGAUCCCCUCAGGAGGGACCCCUCCACCACCGCCCCCGCACGCCGCGCUCCGCUCACCUCCCGGCGCCGCCUCCCUCCAGCCCGGCUCCUCCAGCUGCCGCUCGGCUCCAAGAGUGAUAUGUUACAAAAUCCUGCAUACAUCAGACGUCACAUGGAAUGAUAUUGGAUGCUAUUGUUGUACAGAACUGGAUCCUUUAUCUCUUUUCAAGGAUUGAAAGCACACAGAUGGUUCUCCAGAACAGUACAGUGAGUUUGCAGCUGCAGGAGGCUAGACUGUUACAGUAAGUUUCCAGGUCAGCCAAAGGUCUGUCACAUAAUUUUGACCAAGCCAAGGUGUUGACUAGUUGGUCACUGAAUGACCUCCAUUUUUUCUGGUACCUGUGAUCAAAAGGCUCUUAAAAAUGAAAUGUGUUCUAGGUGGCUUAAUAUGUAACAAACACCAUUAUUGUUCGGACCACUGUGGUGCCAUAAGCAGAUAAACAUGAUGUAAGAGCAUAGCAGGUAUGAUGAGGAAGUGACAAGCUCAGGGAACUGGGAUUGUUUAUCCUGAAGAAAAGGAGUUUCAUGGGGGUCCUUACUGGUCUCUACAACUACCUGAAAAGAGGUUGUAGUGAGAUCUGUCUCUUCUCCCAAGUAGGGAACUGUAGAACAAGAAGAAAUGGCCUCAAAAUGUGACAGGUGAGGUUUAGAUUGGAUAUUAGGAAAAAUUUCUUCACUGAAAGGGUUGUCAAGCAUGGCACAGGCUGUCCAGUAAAGUGGUGGAAUCACCAUCCCUGGAGGUAUUUAAAGGCCAUGUAGAUGUGGUGCUUGGGGACAUGGUUUAGUGGUAGUCUUGGCAGUGCUGGGUUAACAGUUCAACUCAGCGUUAAAGGUCUUUUCCAAACCUUAACGAGUUUAUGUCUAAGAAUUGGCAGGUUUGGCUGUUUGGAGCCAGGUUCCUUAUGUGCUGUACUCUAGUCUCAGAGCUUGGAAACAGUGGUUUACACACUGCAUUUUGGAGCAGAUAAAGUUGCAGUGUGUAUUGGUCUGCGGUCCCGUUUCGUUCCUUGCACCAGGCCCAGUUCCAAGGACGAUGCUAUGCCCACAGGUGGGGGACUAGGAAGAUCUCUUGGUUUGUGUUACUUGCAAAGUGCUGUUAAGUGUGUUGUACUAAAUAUUAAAAAUUGUCAUUUAUGUUUGCUUUAGAAUCUAAGUAUGGAGUGGAAGAAUUUGGUUUAUGAUUUCAUGUAAAGCUCACAUGGCUUGAAAAAUCUAACAUCAGAAUUCUUUGUUGACAUUGUCUUUAUUGAAGCAUGGAUCUUUAGGUUGGUUCACCAUAAAGUGAAGCAUUUUAUUUAUGAUAAUAGACAGGGCUAUAGGGGCAUUAUAACGUUGCUGGUGUAGAUACAACUUUAUCAGAAGAUACAAACAUGACCCGCAAUAGAAACAAACACCAAAGAGAAUACAAUGAAACGUUCACUGUUUACAAAUCACUUCAUUACUACAGACACCAAAUGGCAGUUACUGUAAGUAAAUCAGUUGCAGAGAACUGACUACAUUUAGACAGGGAAUUGGGAAAUUCUGUUUGGGGCUUAAUCCACAACUCCUCAGUAGAAAAAAGUUUAAUGUCAAGCAUUCUUUUUUUAUCCACAAAACAAUGCUAACCAACAGACAUCAAAGAAUAAGACCAAAGGAUAUCAACGCCUUUACAACUACUCUUGCAAUUACCUUCUGGAUUAGGUACUUUGAUGAUUUUUUAAAAUACAUUUUUUAAGAAGGUAAAUAGCCCAAAAAUCAGCAGCAAAAAUAUUACAACAACAAAACAAGUAAAUACAGUGCCAAUGUGUCAUGUUGUAGAAGAGAAUACAAAGAGGACAAACAAUGAUAACUUAAUCAUAUAAAAUGACACAGAGCUGAAAUACAGUGCACAUAAAUACCUAUGUGACAAAGGAUGUUAAAUUCUGUACUUAGUAUGUAGGUUUUUAUAAACAUAAAAUCUGAAAAGUCUUUGUGCUUAAACUUUUUUUCCUGUUAAACAGAAUUAGUUGCUUACUUCCAAUACUGCCACUGUAACUGAUAUUACAACAGAUCACAAUUUUCACAGACACAUCAACAUUAAAACAUUUACCUAUGAGAAAAUAAGUCACUUCUCAUUAGUUCACAGUGCGAAAAAGUGGUGUACACUCUGUCUUGAGAAAGGCUUUCAGUUAUUCAUCAAGCCAGCUGCAGAAAAGUCCUGAUACCAGACGCAGUGCUAGAUUUAAAGAAUGGAAAGCAACACAUCACAUGUUGGGAGGAAAAAAAAUAAAUUUCUCGUUUCUUCAUGGAUAUCGUCUAAGUGACCUUCGUCUUCUGUUGUAGAAAUGCCUGAGCCCAUGUUGCCGUGAAAAAUUCAUCAUGUAAUUUUGUUUGCGAGUGCUGUUGAAAUCAAAGGGUGGAGGAAGAGAAGAGCGUCACACAUUAAAAUACGUACUUUAAAUUCUUUUGGAGCAGUGAGCUAGUGGGACUGAUUCUUCUUUGUCCUUGCAUGACCUUUCAAGCCUGUGCAAACUGGUGUGAAGCACACCCUUUGUAUAAUUGCAAGGUACCAGGCAAUUGAGAAUCUGUCCCACUUUGCUUUCAUUUACAAUUCGUUAUCUUAGGGAAAGGUUAAGAGCUUUCAGCUGAUGCAAACUUGUGCUGCCUAGGGCCAGAUUCACUAAAGCUGUGUGCACACUUCACAGAAUUUAUCUCCAGUGGUUUUGUACUCCAGUAAUCCUUCUGCCUUCAAUGAUUAACUGCUUUAUCUUGAGAACAUAAGAAAAGCUUUAUUCCACUUCAUUAUCUUCUACUUCUACCAUAUAGGAAGUGAAGUACAACACUUUUUUGAAGAUUCAUAUUUCCCUCCCCUAUGCACCCUCUUCCAAAAUUAAAGGAAGAUCUGAGAACUAAGCAUCAUCAUGUCUGGGAGGAGACCAGGCAAGAGAGACAGCCUGUCUGCAGCCUAAUUCAAGGAAGACCUACCUGGAGGACAAGGCCCAUCCCAGCUAAUGUAGGUUUCUACUUCUCCCACUGAGGGAAGAAGGAACCAUGAGAGGGCAGAUCUGUGAAGUGAAAGCCUGCAGUCAACAAAUCUCCCAUUUGUGGGUGCAAGGCAUGUUUUCACUUGUGAGUUUUGUCUGUGAGUAAGAAGUAAAUAUUCGUAAUGUAAUCAGUCAUUCUUUCCUCCCUAGUGCAUAAAUUUAUUUCUAGUGAAUGUGGCCCUUAGGAAAAAGGAGUAAUUGUAUGUUUUGCAAAAUACAAGGCCAUCCUCCAGGUAGCUUUUGCUGUAGUAUGCUAAUUUAAUCUAAAACAAUCUAACAAAAUUACAACUUUUCAGCAGCUAAUCUUGAACACAAUUGAUUUAACUGAAUAACAGUUGUCAUAUCAAAAUCUAGAUUAUAAACCCCUAAGCAAAUCCAAGUCACUUCCUGACUAGUCUUCCAAGGCUUUGCAAUUUUUAAUUUUUGUAUUAUUUUUUGCCACUGGAACGUACAUACAAAAAUGAAAUUGUCACAGCUCCUGGUGACAAUGAAGGCAAACAGAUGUACACUUGGCACAACUUUUGGCACUCUCACAGUAAGGCAGAGCUCUAGAGCAUUUGGCAGUUGAGAGAGGGGUUAAUGUUUGAAGUUGACUUGUCCUGACUUUCACCUAACUUCAGGUAAAAAGGAAAGGUUUGUGCUGAUUUCUAAGACUUUUUUUGAGAAGGUGUCAGUGGUGAGUUUAUAUAAUUUUAAUGCCGCUUGGUAGCUCCAGUGCAAAGCAGCAUUGAAGAUCAGUCUUCAUUCUGUUCCUUUAGUGAUCUCAGUGGAACACCACCCUCACUCCAAGGCCAAGCAACUCACUGAGGAAGACAGGACUGAAAUCAUGACCCCAAACCUGCUCCUGAAAGUGGCUGCCAUUGGUCAUGAGGCUUGAAGAAGGUCUUAAUUUUGCCUUCUCUUUAAUUCCCACUGCCUGGGAAGUGGGUGGUUCCUUAGAAACAGGGCCUUCAAGGCCACAUCCAACCUCUCAGGAAAAGAUCCUAACCAUGGGGUGAGGAUGGAGCACCUCUCUGCAGCCAAAAUGCAGGAGAUAGGCCUGGGAGAAAGCACAGCACAACUCUGAGCAGCUUCGAUCUCGGUACAUGGGACCAAACAGAGCCUGUCAAAGUGUUUGGCUGAAAAAAUUGCAAUUUCUGGACCUGGUUAAUUUAGGAGUGAGCUUGGCUGUGAGAGCCUCAGCUUGGGCAAGACUUGGACAGCUGGGGCAUGUGCUGAGCUGCAGUUCUUGGCCCAGGAGCCUUCACAUAUCCCCAUCUCUAUCCUGCCUUUGGUCUGCUCAUGUUCAGCAACAGCUCAGCAGAGAUUUUCAGGACUGGUUUUGGACAAUGCUAGGUGCAUCUGGCCUCCACUUCAAAUGACUAACCCUUUCGAAUCUGGCCUUAAACUUAUGGUGAGGAUGUUUAAAACAAUGAACAGAGGAAAAAAAAAAAGGAAAGAAAAAGAGAGAAUUGAGAAAAGGAACAAAUGGUUAUCUAAUAACUUAAAAGAUAUUUAUUUUUUUAUGUAUAUAAUUUUGUUCUGCUAUAAGAUGAUCAAGACAUUAGAAAGAAGCAUAUAGUUAUGUCUUACACUGACUACCAGAGCAAUGCAGUGUGUGAAAAAUAAGAGAAAUCUAAAUUCUCAGGAGCUAAAUGCUUAAAUUUUUUUUUACUUGCAGUGACAUAGUUCAUACUUGUCCUCACUGAUGUCUGAGGCAGACUUUCCAGCUACUAGUUGGAUGCCACAGAAAAAUUUCAUGCCUGCUAUAGAAAUAGCAUGAUUUUCACUCUUGCCAUGGGUAAAUAUGUAUACCCUCUGCAUUAAAGUAUAGUAUCCUAUUGCACCACAAAAUCAGAGUAGGUCUAUGUUUUUUAUUUUUCUGAAUUAAUUUUAUAUAUUGGUAGGAGACAAGCACUAUGUAAGAGAGAUCAAGUGCCUUAUAAAAUCACAAGAAGAGCUAUACAAUGUAGUCUGUAGAAGUACUUAUGCAUUUCUUGCCUUUGGUGAAUGUAAAAAUGCUUUCAAUACUAUUAGUACUAAAUUUAAUUUGUAUUAUCACAGACUGAUAAAAAGUUUUACCAUACUUUUGCUGUUGUUUUCCUGUUUGGAGCACCCAAAAUGUGCUGGGCAGCAUCAAGUUACAUUAGGAAUAUAUCCCCCCUUCCAUAAUGGAGGUUCUGGAGGGAACUUUUGUUCAGAUAUCAGCGGCAACUUGAAGGCUGCUUUGAGAGUGUGUAAUAGACUGGUCAGCAUCUGCUGAGCCUUCUGCCUUUUCUGUGCAUUCACUGAACCAUUAGUCAAUCAGAAAAGUUCAGAUCCAAAGCUAUCUGUAUAUUGCUGAUGAAACACACAGCAAAAAGAAAUUAAUAGGAGCAACUACUGUAUAAUCUGUUUGACAGUUUUGAGUGCACUAUUAAAAUAUACAUGGAAGAUAAUUUUUGUGGGAAACCCUAAAUAUCUUUCCAGUGAAGUCACUGGAGUUGUGCUAGUUGUAUGAAAGCAAUAUGCAGCCAAUACAGAAGAACAAAACCAGAACUGUCUAGGGCAUAUUCAAUACAUACCAACAGUAAAGCAAUUUAUGAGAAGGA